rnacentral:lncRNA from 1 species
CCAGUGUUGGCAAGGACUUGAGACACCAGUUUAUCCAAUACACUUACUUUAAAAAGGCACAUGCAUAUUCAUUAAAACUUUCAUUAAAUGGAACCCACUAUCCACACUCAAAUUAGCCAAGUGCUUUUUUUCCCCCUUAAGCAAUUUACAAUGAAUAGGAGGACUUUUUAUAGUUAGAUUUAGGGAAAGGGGUACAUUUUACUUUCUUUUUCUUUUCUUAAAACAUUUUGAUUCUUUAUUUUGUCGUCUUAGUGCUUUUUAUGUUAUUUAAAAAUAAUACACAGAUUGGAAAAGUUAGAAUGCAUUUAAUAGUGAUUUACCUAAAACCCAGGUCUUCCAGCUUAGAGCCUAGUGCCCUUUUCUUGCUUCAUUGUAGUCUCAAAGAUGAAUUUGCCAACAUGAUUUCAGACAAAAUGCAGGAGCCAUAUUUAAUUAUAUUUUGUUGGCUUCUGUCCUUAAGGAAAUUGGACAAUUUGGACAACUCAGGGAUAGAUUACAUCCCACAGAGUUUUUUUUACUAAUGUCUCUGUAAUUAAGUUUACAGUCUAUAUUCAGGAUUUUGUGCUUAAGAGCUAUUACCACUGAAG